GCAUGUGUGGUGUAGUGGUUAAAGCAUCAGACUUUGACUCUCAAGAUCGGGAUUCGAUUCCCCACUCAGCCA